rnacentral:rRNA from 1 species
GGUGACGACGUGGUGGAGAGCGUGGGAAGGCGGAGGGGGCGAGCGGUGGCCGGGGUUAGUGGGCGGAAAGCGCGGGUAGGCUGGUCGAGAAGUCUGCUGUGAAAGUGCAGGGCUCAGCCCUGGGAUGCCGGUGGAUACGGUCGGACUAGAGUACGGAAGAGGCGAGUGGAAUUCCCGGUGUAGCGGUGAAAUGCGCAGAUAUCGGGAGGAACACCAAUUGCGAAGGCAGCUCGCUGGGACGUCACUGACGCUGAGACGCGAAAGCGUGGGGAGCAAACAGGAUUAGAUACCCGUGUAGUC